rnacentral:rRNA from 1 species
AUUGAACGCUGGCGGCAGGCUUAACACAUGCAAGUCGAGCGGAGAGAGGUAGCUUGCUACUGAUCUUAGCGGCGGACGGGUGAGUAAUGCUUAGGAAUCUGCCUAUUAGUGGGGGACAACAUUUCGAAAGGAAUGCUAAUACCGCAUACGUCCUACGGGAGAAAGCAGGGGAUCUUCGGACCUUGCGCUAAUAGAUGAGCCUAAGUCGGAUUAGCUAGUUGGUGGGGUAAAGGCUUACAAAGGCGACGAACUGUAGCGGGUCUUAGAGGAUGAUCCGCCACACUGGGACUGAGACACGGCCCAGACUCCUACGGGAGGCAGCAGUGGGGAAUAUUGGACAAUGGGCGUAAGCCUGAUCCAGCCAUGCCGCGUGUGUGAAGAAGGCCUUAUGGUUGUAAAGCACUUUAAGCGAGGAGGAGGCUACUUUAGUUAAUACCUAGAGAUAGUGGACGUUACUCGCAGAAUAAGCACCGGCUAACUCUGUGCCAGCCGCCGCGGUAACAC